GACUGCAGAUGAAUCUAGCGACAGUGCUUCUUCAAAUGUUAAUAUUUCAAUACCAAACAAUAAUAAUUUAAAAGUAAUUCCUCAAAGUCAUUGUUCAGUAUCAAAUAUUUCAGAUGAUGACAUACAAUUAAUUGUGAAACAUUUUGAUCACAAACUUACCAAAUUAAUAAGAAUAACUUCUAAAAUUGAUGUCGAAUUAUCUGAUUUGAAACAACGAGUAGAUCGUAUAACUCCGUUUACUAGAGUAUCUGGACCAUCAGAAAAG